rnacentral:rRNA from 1 species
AGCGAACGCUGGCGGCAGGCUUAACACAUGCAAGUCGAGCGGGCGUAGCAAUACGUCAGCGGCAGACGGGUGAGUAACGCGUGGGAACAUACCUUUUGGUUCGGAACAACACAGGGAAACUUGUGCUAAUACCGGAUAAGCCCUUACGGGGAAAGAUUUAUCGCCGAAAGAUUGGCCCGCGUCUGAUUAGCUAGUUGGUGAGGUAACGGCUCACCGAAGGCGACGAUCAGUAGCNGGUCUGAGAGGAUGAUCAGCCACAUUGGGACUGAGACACGGCCCAAACUCCUACGGGAGGCAGCAGGUGGGGAAUAUUGGACAAUGGGCGCAAGCCUGAUCCAGCCAUGCCGCGUGAGUGAUGAAGGCCCUAGGGUU